rnacentral:lncRNA from 1 species
GAACCAGUACAGUCCUGCCAUCCGCCUCCCUCCAUGCACCACCAGAACCCAUUGAGGAAGCUGAAGGAUAGGGCUCAGCUCAAGCAAUGGGUGCUGGGAGCUAAGAACCCUGCAGAUCACGUGACUGUGGUAUCAUGUGGUAUCCUGUCCUCCCGGUUGGCUGUGAAGUGCUUUGGCUUUCCAGUGAGGUGUGACAGCAAGGCUCCUGGAAGAACUAGUGGUCCUCUGAGUGUUCUGCCCUGCGCAUGAAGGCCACAGACGUGCUUCACCUGCUUGGCCUUGAAGCACUAGCUGAAACCUGAAAGGUCUCUUCUUUACUUUUGGAGGAACAAAAAUCACAUUUUCAUUUGUUUCAAAUUAGACUUGUUUAAAAACAAAAUACAAAACCGGAUCCCUGCAAACAUGAUUUCUGAAGGGAGAUGUGAUCGAUGCUGCAAGAAAAUCAUCUUUUAUAUGAAAACGACUAUUUUAUAAUACCAAUGUCACAUUUUCUGAAAGUAACAAACAAGAUGUUCCAAUGAUCCUUUGGUGGCCUCUGUUUCUUGUUUCCUUUUUCUAGAUAUUGCUUUUCUCGGCUGUUUUCAGCUUUGGGACCAAAGGGAUUGUUGACAUUUCCCCAGCAAUGUCAAUCUCAUGACUGUUCUUCUCCCAAGUAAGAAUUGAUAGGUAAUGCAUUGAACCAAGUAUAUAUAAAAAGAUAAAAAGC